rnacentral:rRNA from 1 species
AUUGAACGCUGGCGGCAUGCCUUACACAUGCAAGUCGAACGGUAACAGGUCUUCGGUUGCUGACGAGUGGCGAACGGGUGCGUAAUACAUCGGAACGUGCCCGAUCGUGGGGGGUAACGAGGCAAAAGCUUUGCUAAUACCGCAUACGAUCUACGAAUGAAAGCGGGGGAUCUUCGGACCUCGCGCGGGCGGAGCGGCCGAUGGCAGAUUAGGUAGUUGGUGGGUUAAAAGCUUACCAAGCCGACGAUUUGUAGCUGGUCUGAGAGGAUGAUCAGCCACACUGGGACUGAGACACGGCCCAGACUCCUACGGGAGGCAGCAGUGGGGAAUUUUGGACAAUGGGCGAAAGCCUGAUCCAGCCAUGCCGCGUGCAUGAUGAAGGCCUUUGGGUUGUAAAAUGCUUUUGUACGGAACGAAAAGCCUCUUACUAAUAAAGAGAGGUCAUGACGGUACCGUAAGAAUAAGCACCGGCUAACUACGUG